UACGUAGGGGGCUAGCGUUGUCCGGAUUUAUUGGGCGUAAAGAGCUCGUAGGCGGUUUCGUAAGUCGGAUGUGAAAACUCAGGGCUCAACCCGGAGACGCCAUCCGAUACUGCGAUGACUUGAGUCUGGUAGGGGAACACGGAAUUCCUGGUGUAGCGGUGAAAUGCGCAGAUAUCAGGAGGAACACCGAUGGCGAAGGCAGUGUUCUGGGCCAGUACUGACGCUGAGGAGCGAAAGCGUGGGGAGCAAACAGG
rnacentral:rRNA from 1 species